rnacentral:rRNA from 1 species
UACAGAGACCUCAAGCGUUAUCCGGAAUCAUUGGGCGUAAAGCGUACCGAUCGGUGGUUAAACAAGUCAGAAGUGAAAUCUCUCAGCUUAACUGGGAGACUGUCUUUUGAAACUGUUUAGCUCGAGGGGCAAAGAGGAAGCUGGAACGAACGGUGUAGUAGUGAAAUGCGUUGAUAUCGUUCGGAACACCAAUAGCGAAGGCAGGCUUCUGGGUGCCACCUGACACUGCUAGGACGAAAGCGUGGGGAGCGAAUGGG